GGGGACAUAGCUCAGUUGGGAGAGCAACAGACUGAAGUCUCAAUGUGAUUAUUCUGGAGGUCCCCAGUUCAAUCCUGGGUGUCCCCA